GGUGAGUAGGUGUGGCAUGUUUUUGCGCAUGUCUGACCUAGAAUAAUUUGAAUUUAGCAUUGCGCAUGCUCUACUUUUUCGAACUAUGAAAGUCGAAGUCGACUUCGAGAGUGAAUGUACUUAAUGUGUAGUUCGACAGUAUCGAAAUGAACGAUCAGUGUUCGGCAUGCGAGGCACGUACGUGUGGCGCCGGCGCUAGAACAGCAGGUCGGUGUGCAGGCUGCGGGCCUCGCUCCACGAGCGCGCCGCGUCGGCGCCGCAGGGCCGCGCGUCGCCCUCGGCCUCGUCCGCGGCCGGCGCCGCGCCCUCUGCAACACACACGUCAUACAUGUCGGCCCGCAGCGCCGCCCGCCCCCUCCCCGAGCUAUACUGACCGGCGGCGGCGGCGGCGGGCGCCUGCCUGGUGACGCCCAGCUGGAAGGCGUCGGCGCAGGUCUUGCUGGGCGUGUAGCGGCCCAGCGCCGCCGACGCUGCAACACACGCUAACGUUAGUGUCCCGCACGAACUCACCCGCCCGCGACCUGGAUCGCUACUUCUAGCGACUACAAUCUUCAACUAUAAAAACUUUUGUUCAAAAUUCACUAUGCUUUCAUACGAUGAGUAGUAUAAGUAAUAAUGAUGUAAAGUAAUAAUAAUGAGUAAUAAGUUUACAUAUAAAAAUCUAAAGCGACAACGAGCGAUAUAAUAAAAAUCGAGCGACAACGACCUAGCCAAACGUUUAAAAUAUGCAUAGUAUUUGCCGAAGGCGGUAGAGGGCGUCACACGAAGCACUCGCGCGGCUGCGGCGCGGGCCGCCGCGCCGCUCUGCGCCGCAGCCCUGCGCGUGCGCAACAAACUCUUCGUUGUAAUAUUUAUAGUUAAGUCUUUUUUUAUAUUAAGCUAGAAGAUAAUGUAUUUAUUGUGUAAUCCAUUAUUUAUAAUAAAUAUCUAUUGGAAAUAGAUAAUACAAGUUGC